rnacentral:rRNA from 1 species
UACGGAGGAUGCAAGCGUUAUCCGGAUUUAUUGGGUUUAAAGGGUGCGCAGGCGGGCGCUUAAGUCGGUGGUGAAAUUUUGCAGCUUAACUGUAACAGUGCCGUUGAUACUGGGGAGCUAGGAUUUGGUUGCUGUGGGUGGAAUGUGUGGUGUAGCGGUGAAAUGCUUAGAGAUCACACAGAAUAUCGAUUGCGAAGGCAGCUCACAAAGCCAAGAUUGACGCUGAGGCACGAAAGUGUGGGGAUCAAACAGGA